GACAGAGGGUGCAAGCGUUGUUCGGAAUUACUGGGCGUAAAGGGUGCGUAGGCGGCGAGGAAAGUCACAUGUGAAAUCCCUGGUUUCAAGUCAGGAACUGCAUGUGAAACUCCCUUGCUCGAAUCACGGAGAGGGAAAUGGAAUUCCCGGUGUAGAGGUGAAAUUCGUAGAGAUCGGGAGGAACACCAGAGGCGAAAGCGGUUUCCUGGACGAUGAUUGACGCUGAGGCACGAAAGCGUGGGUAG
rnacentral:rRNA from 1 species